rnacentral:rRNA from 1 species
UACAGAGGUCUCAAGCGUUGUUCGGAUUCAUUGGGCGUAAAGGGUGCGUAGGCGGCGCGGUAAGUCGGGUGUGAAAUCUUGGAGCUUAACUCCGAAACUGCAUUCGAUACUGCCGUGCUUGAGUUCCGGAGAGGAAGGCAGAAUUCCCGGUGUAGCGGUGAAAUGCGUAGAUAUCGGGAGGAAUACCAGUGGCGAAGGCGGCCUUCUGGACGGAUACUGACGCUGAGGCGCGAAAGCCAGGGGAGCAAACGGG